rnacentral:rRNA from 1 species
AGUCAAGUAAUUAAGUGCAUGUGGUGGAUGCCUUGGCAGUCAGAGGCGAUGAAAGACGUGAUAGCCUGCGAAAAGCUCCGGGGAGGCGGCAAAUAUCCUUUGAUCCGGAGAUGUCUGAAUGGGGGAACCCACCUACUUUAAGGUAGGUAUUGCAACAUGAAUACAUAGUGUUGCAAGGCGAACGAGGGGAAGUGAAACAUCUCAGUACCCUUAGGAAAAGAAAUCAAUUGAGAUUCCCUCAGUAGCGGCGAGCGAACGGGGAUCAGCCCAUUAAGUUAUGUGUGUUUUAGUGGAACGCUCUGGGAAGUGCGAACGUAGAGGGUGAUAUUCCCGUACACGAAAGGGCACACAUAAUGAUGACGAGUAGGGCGAGGCACGUGAAACCUUGUCUGAAUAUGGGGGGACCAUCCUCCAAGGCUAAAUACUCCUGACUGACCGAUAGUGAACCAGUACCGUGAGGGAAAGGCGAAAAGAACCCCUGUGAGGGGAGUGAAAUAGAUCCUGAAACCGCAUGCAUACAAGCAGUGGGAGCACCUUCGUGGUGUGACUGCGUACCUUUUGUAUAAUGGGUCAGCGACUUAUAUUCAGUAGCGAGGUUAACCGUAUAGGGGAGCCGUAGAGAAAUCGAGUCUUAAUAGGGCGUUUAGUUGCUGGGUAUAGACCCGAAACCAGGCGAUCUAUCCAUGAGCAGGUUGAAGGUUGGGUAACACUAACUGGAGGACCGAACCCACUGUCGUUGAAAAGCCAGGGGAUGACUUGUGGAUAGGGGUGAAAGGCUAAUCAAGCCUGGUGAUAGCUGGUUCUCCCCGAAAGCUAUUUAGGUAGCGCCUCGGACGAAUACCAUAGGGGGUAGAGCACUGUUUCGGCUAGGGGGUCAUCCCGACUUACCAAACCGAUGCAAACUCCGAAUACCUAUGAGUACUAUCCGGGAGACAGACUGCGGGUGCUAACGUCCGUAGUCAAGAGGAAAACAAUCCAGACCGCCAGCUAAGGCCCCAAAAUCAUAGUUAAGUGGGAAACGAUGUGGGAAGGCAUAGACAGCUAGGAGGUUGGCUUAGAAGCAGCCACCCUUUAAAGAAAGCGUAAUAGCUCACUAGUCGAGUCGGCCUGCGCGGAAGAUGUAACGGGGCUAAAACUAUGUGCCGAAGCUGCGGAUGUAUACUUUGUAUACGUGGUAGGGGAGCGUUCUGUAAGCCGAUGAAGGUGUGUUGAGAAGCAUGCUGGAGGUAUCAGAAGUGCGAAUGCUGACGUGAGUAACGACAAAACGGGUGAAAAACCCGUUCGCCGAAAGACCAAGGGUUCCAGUCCAACGUUAAUCGGGGCUGGGUGAGUCGACCCCUAAGGCGAGGCCGAAAGGCGUAGUCGAUGGGAAAAUGGUUAAUAUUCCAUUACUUCUGUGUAAUGCGAUGAGAGGACGGAGAAGGCUAAAUCAGCCUGGCGUUGGUUGUCCAGGUGAAAGGAUGUAGGCAUGUAUCUUAGGCAAAUCCGGGGUACUCUAUGCUGAGAUCUGAUAGC